rnacentral:rRNA from 1 species
ACGAACGCUGGCGGCAUGCCUAACACAUGCAAGUCGAACGAGACCUUCGGGUCUAGUGGCGCACGGGUGCGUAACGCGUGGGAACCUGCCCUUAGGUUCGGAAUAACUCCCCGAAAGGGGUGCUAAUACCGGAUAAUGUCUUCGGACCAAAGAUUUAUCGCCUUUGGAUGGGCCCGCGUUGGAUUAGCUAGUUGGUAGGGUAAAAGCCUACCAAGGCGACGAUCCAUAGCUGGUCUGAGAGGAUGAUCAGCCACACUGGGACUGAGACACGGCCCAGACUGAGAGGAGAGAGAGGCGUGGGAAAUAUCGCACAAGGGGCAACUGCCGCAAACACGAGUGCGGCGGGAGGAAUGAGGGUCUAAGGUUUGAAAUAUUCUUUUACCCGGAAAAACAACGACAUCGCCGGAAAAAGACUCUCCGCCAAACGCCGGUCCAGUACCCGCGGUAAUAGCGGGAAGAGCACACCCAUACAC